GAUUAAUGUCGGAAAUAAAAAGUUCUAAAUAUUAAGGCUUAUAGCCACAAUAAUAGUAAUAAUAAUAAGUGUAGAGCUACUAUACUAUCAGAAAUAUAGAGGACUUUGUGUUUCCAACUUUUUUGGCCCUUGGAUUAAGGAUUGUACGGUUGGAAUGAUAACGUUUCCUUCUAGGAUUGAGUGGUUUUCAUAAGAUAAAAAUAUUGAUCCAAAGAUUAAAAAUGAUCAAA
rnacentral:lncRNA from 1 species